GCGUAACGCGUGGGAACCUGCCCUUAGGUUCGGAAUAACUCAGAGAAAUUUGAGCUAAUACCGGAUAAUGUCUUCGGACCAAAGAUUUAUCGCCUUUGGAUGGGCCCGCGUAGGAUUAGCUAGUUGGUGGGGUAAAGACCUACCAAGGCGACGAUCCUUAGCUGGUCUGAGAGGAUGAUCAGCCACACUGGGACUGAGACACGGCCCAGACUCCUACGGGAGGCAGCAGUGGGGAAUAUUGGACAAUGGGCGAAAGCCUGAUCCAGCAAUGCCGCGUGAGUGAUGAAGGCCUUAGGGUUGUAAAGCUCUUUUACCAGGGAUGAUAAUGACAGUACCUGGAGAAUAAGCUCCGGCUAACUCCGUGCCAGCAGCCGCGGUAAUACGGAGGGAGCUAGCGUUGUUCGGAAUUACUGGGCGUAAAGCGCACGUAGGCGGCGAUUCAAGUCAGAGGUGAAAGCCCGGGGCUCAACCCCGGAACUGCCUUUGAAACUAGAUUGCUAGAAUCCUGGAGAGGUUAGUGGAAUUCCGAGUGUAGAGGUGAAAUUCGUAGAUAUUCGGAAGAACACCAGUGGCGAAGGCGACUAACUGGACAGGUAUUGACGCUGAGGUG
rnacentral:rRNA from 1 species